CGUCAGCUCGUGUCGUGAGAUGUUGGGUUAAGUCCCGCAACGAGCGCAACCCCUACCUCUAGUUGCCAUCAAGUUUAGAUUUUAUCUAGAUGUUGGGUACUUUAUAGGGACUGCCGGUGAUAAUCCGGAGGAAGGUGGGGAUGACGUCAAGUCCUCAUGGCCCUUAUGGGCUGGGCUACACACGUGCUACAAUGGUGGUUACAAUGGGUUGCGA
rnacentral:rRNA from 1 species